rnacentral:rRNA from 1 species
UGCUCUUCUUGGAUGAGUUGCGAACGGGUGAGUAACGCGUAGGUAACCUGCCUUGUAGCGGGGGAUAACUAUUGGAAACGAUAGCUAAUACCGCAUAACAAUGGAUGACACAUGUCAUUUAUUUGAAAGGGGCAAUUGCUCCACUACAAGAUGGACCUGCGUUGUAUUAGCUAGUAGGUGAGGUAAUGGCUCACCUAGGCGACGAUACAUAGCCGACCUGAGAGGGUGAUCGGCCACACUGGGACUGAGACACGGCCCAGACUCCUACGGGAGGCAGCAGUAGGGAAUCUUCGGCAAUGGGGGCAACCCUGACCGAGCAACGCCGCGUGAGUGAAGAAGGUUUUCGGAUCGUAAAGCUCUGUUGUAAGUCAAGAACGGGUGUGAGAGUGGAAAGUUCACACUGUGACGGUAGCUUACCAGAAAGGGACGGCUAACUACGUGCCAGCAGCCGCGGUAAUACGUAGGUCCCGAGCGUUGUCCGGAUUUAUUGGGCGUAAAGCGAGCGCAGGCGGUUUGAUAAGUCUGAAGUUAAAGGCUGUGGCUCAACCAUAGUUCGCUUUGGAAACUGUCAAACUUGAGUGCAGAAGGGGAGAGUGGAAUUCCAUGUGUAGCGGUGAAAUGCGUAGAUAUAUGGAGGAACACCGGUGGCGAAAGCGGCUCUCUGGUCUGUAACUGACGCUGAGGCUCGAAAGCGUGGGGAGCGAACAGGAUUAGAUACCCUGGUAGUCCACGCCGUAAACGAUGAGUGCUAGGUGUUGGAUCCUUUCCGGGAUUCAGUGCCGCAGCUAACGCAUUAAGCACUCCGCCUGGGGAGUACGACCGCAAGGUUGAAACUCAAAGGAAUUGACGGGGGCCCGCACAAGCGGUGGAGCAUGUGGUUUAAUUCGAAGCAACGCGAAGAACCUUACCAGGUCUUGACAUCCCGAUGCUAUUUCUAGAGAUAGAAAGUU